GAGAAGCUGUUCCUAUCCAGAGGUCAGCGUGGGGACUUCCUUGCCAGGCCCAGCGAGAGCAGCCCGGGGGGCUUCACGCUGUCCGUCAGGUGGUACCACGGGCGCCUGUCUGGCAAGGAGGCUGAGAAGCUGUUGCUGCAGAAGGGGCAUCCGGGCAGCUUCCUGGUGCACGUGAGUCAGAGCGAUCCUGGGGGCUUCCCGCUGUCAGCGCUGACGCAAGGGUGGGACAAGGUGCAGGGCGCAGGCCGCCAGCCACAGGUCACGCACAUCAUGACUCACUCCCAGGCGGGAGGGGGCGGCGAGCUGGGGCGGCCUCUGGGAAGGGCGGGCGGCCUUGGCCAGGCCCCUCACCGCCACCCCCACGGCCGGACGAGAAGUGGGAGACGGGGAGCGUUUUGACACCCUCGGAGACCCGGUGGAGCAGGAAGAGCCCGUUGAUGGGGAAGGUGGGGGCGGUUGUGCACCUCAAGCAGGUAAAAGCCCCUCCACAGGCACCAGGGCCUCCGGAUGACUGCGGGCAGGCCUGGAUAACAUCCAGCCUCCCACAAGAAGCUGGUGGAGCAGAGCGUUCCCUGACUCCUCCAAGGAAAGGAGACUCCCUUUCGCGGUCUGCUAAGUAACGGGUGCCUUCCCAGACACUGGCAUUACCGCUUGACCAAGGGGCCCUCAAGCGGCCCUUAUGCGGGUGUGACAGAAGGUUCCCCUCUUGCCUUCUAUUCACUUCUCACAAUGUCCCUUCAGCACCUGACCCUACACCCGCCGGUUAUUCCUAGGUUAUAUUAUUAAUGCAACAGAGUAAUAUUAAAAGCUAAUGAUUAAUAAUGUUUAUAAUGAUGGAUAAUUGUUCAUGAUCAUCGCUGUAUCUAAUUUGUAUUAUGACUAUUCUUAUUCUAUUUUCUUUAUUAUACUGAAACAGUUUGUGCCUUCAGUCUCUUGCCUCGGCACCUAGGUACUCUUCCGCCCACAUGGGACGGGGUGGGGGUGGCCAUCUCGGGCUCUGGGAAGGGGCCGGGGCUGUGAGCUGAAGGCUCCAUCACCUCCAGAUGCUGCAGCAGCAGGAAUGCCGGUUCCUGUACCCUCGGAAGGAGGGGCAGAGUGUGGAGAACAAGCCCAAGAAUCACUACAAGAACAUCCUUCCCUGUGAGGGCGGAGGCCAGGGCGUCACCCGUCAGGCCUCGGGGAGGUGGGGGGCAGGCCGAGCAUCUGCCACUGCUGACCUGAGGCUCCCCCUUGCAUACCCUGGACCCUCCAUCUCUGCUCACCACAGGGUCCGCGGGCAAAGAGGCAGGGUGAGGCCCACGAGCUGUGCCCUGGAGAACUGAGCAUCACCUCCCUUCCCAGUUGAUGCCACCCUUGAGUCAUCCUGCUCAACGAGGAUGACAGCGGGCCCGGAGCCGACUACAUCAGGACUGACCCUGAGGAGGAGCCGGGCCAUGGCAGGGGCAGGAUGGACAUCCCUUGUGGCCCUGCCCCGCCGCACCUGCACCUGCACAGCCCGCGUGAGCCCGCCCCGCCGCAGCUGAAGUGCACCACCAUGGGCCCGGCCCGCGGCUCGCGGCUCUGGGCCCGGUUCACCUCGUCCCGGAAGCCGAGGACGCCGGCGGGAUCGGUCCGGACGCCGUAGUCCGGCCAGCCGAAGUACCGGAAGUGCUGCACCGUACGCUGUGGCUCCUCCCCGCGGGGCAGGGCCUCGGGGCGCAGGGUGUACAUCGCCUGCAGGGCUGUCUGCAGGCCACGGUGGCUGCUUUCUGGGCCACGGUGCACCAGGAGAACACGCGUGUCAUCGUCAUGACCACCAGGGAGAUGGAGCGGGGCCGGGUAGGGGUGCGGUGCCAGUGCUCCCAGUGCCCAUCCCACCCCGUGCAUCUUCGGCUGCCCAAGGCCCUUCCCGACCAGGCCAAGGAGGCUGUGGGACGCCGUGGGAGUGGGGAGGCUCCCACAGAGCCCCGUGGCUGCACGUACACACCUGCGUCUCUGCAGGUCGCAGGGGCAGGGUGCCGGGGUGCUGCCAGCAAGGCUGAUGCAAAGCGCUCCCCUCAGAACAAGUGUUUCCGGGACUGGCCAGAGCUGCCCGGCAGCCAAGAGUUCAGCCGUGUGCACAUGCGCGUCCUGGGUAAGGGCCAGGCCCAGGGCUACUGCGUGCGGGAGCUGCAGGUGUGGCGGCCGGGCCAGGUGAGCCUGGCGGCUGUGGAGCGUGCCUGCUGUCGGCCUGCACUGGGAGACCCCACACCUGCCUGCAUCCAACCCCACUGCCUUUGGGGGCUUCCACACCCCUCAACCCAGGAGGUGCAUUCCAAGCCUGGACAGGGGUCACUGACGUGGCCACAUUCUCAGCCCUGGGCUGGCGGCCGCUCCUCCCACACACCUCUCCAACUGCGGCUUUGGUCUCCGUUGUAUACCAGAGACGCCCAUUUCUGUUCCGGGCAGAUUACCUCGUGUUCCCUCCAGCCCCCGCCCAGUGUGUGGGGGGGGGGGUCCUCCAGGCCCCCAUGGACCCCUCACAUUUGGUUUUUCCUUAUAAAAUAACUGUCCUCACAGCCUGCUUCUCCCGCCCCCAGCUCCCUCUUCCCUUCCCCAGGCACCUGAGCCACCUGGGGCCAUCUCGGCGCCCCCUCCCCAUUUCCUUCCUCCUCCUCCUGCUCGCCUUGGCCCCCGCAGCCCCUCCGCUUGGGCACUCCCGGAAACCCAGCUGUGCCUCAGCCUCCUCCUCCCACCCUGGGGUCGCACUCACCGCCUGCCCCGCUCAGGAGGAGCCACAGCGUACGGUGCAGCACUUCCAGUACUUCGGCUGGCCGGACUACGGCGUCCGGGCCGAUCCCGCCGGCGUCCUCGGCUUCCGGGACGAGGUGAACCGGGCCCAGAGCAGCAAGCCGCAGGCCGGGCCCAUGGUGGUGCACUUCAGCUGCGGCGGGGCGGGCCCACGCGGGCUGUGCAGAUGCAGGUGCGGCGGGGCGGGCCCACGCGGGCUGCGCAGGUGCAGGUGCGGCGGGGCGGGGCCACGCGGGCUGUGAAGGUGCAGGUGCGGCGGGGCAGAGCCACGCGGGACGACGCGGGAGGAGCCAUCGGGUGGGCGGGGGCGCCCCCGCCCCCCACUCUCGUCAAAGGCCGCCUAGUUUGUCCUCAGUGGGGUCAUCGGAUGCACCGGCACCAUCAUCGUGAUUAACAUCCUGGUGGACGUCAUCCGCAGGCAGGGCGAGCCGCUCCACUCUGGGUCCCCCCGCCCUGCCCUGCUAUAGCCCCACCCCUCCGGACGACCCCACCCCUCAGGACGACCCCACCCCUCAGGACGACCCCACCGCUACCGGCAAGCCCCGCCCCUCAUCAGUAGCCCCGCCCCUGCCUGCCGGCACCUUCCCCCCAUCCGUAGCCCCUCCCCAAGCGCGCUUGUCCGCAGGGCUGGACUGCGACAUCGACUUCCCGAAGACGAUCCAGCUGGUUUGGCGGCAGCGCUGGGGAAUGGUGCAGACGGAGGCUCCGUACAAGUUCACGUACCUGGCGCUGCAGCGGCACAUCCGGGGCGAGUAACUGCGCCUGCGCGAGCAGGUGGGGGGCGUGGCCCUGCGGGGCGUGGCCUGUGCGGGCGUCGCCAUGGUGACCGGCGGCCCCUCCCCCCAGCGCGAGCCGCCUCAGGAGCGCGAGAACCAAAACAUGGGCGCCGCCCCCCGCGCAUCUGGUUGCAGCCCCCGGCUCCCCGGGCAUCCCCGGUGUGAGUGGAGCGCCGGGGCCGGUCCGGAGUCCUCUGGGAGGGACUGGGACGUGCGGGGUGCGGGGCUGAGCCGCUGCUCCGCGCGCAGAACCCCGCAGCCCUGGGACGGCGAGGACACGAACCUGCGGAGCCGCGGGUGUCUGAGGAGCCGCAGGGAACCCCCGGCCUAGCCGCGCCCGCGUGUGGCCGGAGCCUCGGGCCGGGACUGUGUCCAGGACAGAGCCACAAGCUUGUCCCCAGCUCAGGGAGGUCCAGGGGCGGCAGAGGGAGCGACAGGCUGCGAAGCCCACCGGUGACCACGUGUGAACCCGUGUGCGCCCCCAGCUCGGCCACUCCGUGCGGGUCUGCCCUCACCGCAGCUCCGGCCUGCCGGCCCUGCCUGCUCCCGUGGUCUGGGAUGUGGCCCCGGUGAGGACCCGGCCCCAUCGGUCACAGGGUGGAUGUCUGUGGAGUGAGGUGUGUGUGACAUAUUCAUGUGACCACCCGUGCAACGUCACGCGCCUGGCCCUGCCGAUGACAAGGGUGUGGGCCUGCGUGGGCAUGACUGUGUGUGUGACACAGAGUGAUGUUGCUGUGAUCCGUGGCUGCACUCCCCACAUCACCGGCUUUCACAGCCUUCCAGUAAAGUGCUGUGUUCUC